rnacentral:lncRNA from 1 species
AGAAAUUAGAAUUUGAAGGUUAGUGUGUAUUUUUAAGAUAUUUAGCAAUUUGUUGAUUGGAUUGAAGUGAUUUUUUUUGUGGAGAUUAGACUUGAUUUUCUAAAAAUUAAGUAUAUUUUAGAGGCAAUUCAAUGGUUCAAAAAGGAGAUAUUGGUAUAGGAAGUUCAACAUUUAGAUUGGAGUAGGAGGUUGGCCAACAACUAAGCAGAAUUUAGGAUUGAUCUUCUAUUUGGUAUAUUCGAUCUUUUUCAAAUUUUGUGUGCUUGUUGCCAACUUAAUUGUUGAAAGGUGUGUAAAAUAUUAAACAAGAUCAAUGAUAUAAUUACUACAUAUUGAGGUUCUAAACUACUCUAUGAUAAAGAUAAUUUGAUUAAGAAUUGAUUAGGAUUUAGAAUCUAUUUAAGAUUUAAUUAAGAU